rnacentral:lncRNA from 1 species
CUUGUUUCAUCUCCUCCGCACCCCGUUCUUCUCAUCCUUCAGACCCUGUACAGUAGCUAAUACAAUCACUCCCUGACCCUGGACUGGUUAAGAUAAUGUUUGCUACUCUAACACAUACUCCUCAAAUCAGCAGCUGAAACCAGAGAGCUGGACUUCAUUCACACUCAAAUGAUGGUCAGUGGUGGUUUGGGGGGUGCUCUGUUCCAGGCAUCACUUAGUCCUCAUAAAGGGACCUUUAUGGGGGCCACCAGGGGCAUCAAUAUCCAGCCAGCAGAAGGAGAAAGAGAGUUGAGGGGGCUCAGGGCCCCGGCUCAAAAGUGGCGGAAAUUGCCUCUGCCCACCUUCCGUGCCCUUAUACCUGCACAGGAGCUGGAGGAGGCCACCUGGCCACGUGCCCUGGAAGAAGCAGGACAGAAAGUCACACGGGUUUGGAGUCUAGCCACCCGGGACGGAGAGAUGAGGGUGUUGGAGCUACAAGACCCAGGGAUCGUCUCAGUGGAGCUGAGUUGA